rnacentral:sRNA from 2 species
UUUCGAGGGAGUUCGCGGCGGUUCAAGGGAAAUCCGGUGAGAGGCCGGUGCGGACGCGCCACUGUAUCCGGGACGUCGAUCCCGGGAGCCAGGUCGCUUGAACCGUCGUGGGACCUCACCGUAUGGGCGCGUUAUCCCAGAAGGAGGCA